GUAUCGCUCUUACUGCUCUAAAUUUAUAUACUUAAAUACUAGAAACAAGAACUUGAAAUAUACGAUGAAAAAUGUACUUAGUUUUGGCAGUACAAACUGAACUCUUGAAAAUAAAUGUUGUAAUAUAUUAACGCAAAAACAAAUUGCUCUAAUUGCAGCUCCAUGUAAGCUGUCAUAUCCAUUACAUUGCUUUACAACCAGGUAGCACAGGUAUGUAGAUAGUACGGCUGAAGCACCUUUGCCGGAUAAAACGCAUGUUAAUUUUUGUGGAAAUGCGAGAAACACACGCAGCACACAAGGAUGCCAGGUGCAGCCACCACGUGGAAAUGCAACUGCGGAGGAGACUAGGCCCAGCGGAGUGAAACCAGAGGGUUGAUGGCAUCGGGAUGAAAUGUUGGACCAAACGAGAGCCACAAAUUGCGGCAGAAUGCAUUUUUCAAAAGACAAAACCGGAGAGGAGGAUGCAAUCUCAAGUGGUUAUCUCCGAGGCCCUCUGGACCUGUGGGACAUGGGGACCAAAGUCAACAUCAAAGUUCACGCCGACAAAGCGUCGAGAGUAAAUGUUUAAUGAGCGAGGCGCGCGGGGAGCGUAGUUUGCUAAAAAGGAGUAAAGGAUCACGACUCCUUCAAGCCCGGGCGCAAGCCAAUUAAAACAAAGGCCAAAAAACAAAUGCACUUCAAGGGGGGAAAGCUGGGGGGUAAGCGCGUUUGACAGUGUCAAAGGACCCGAGGAGCGAGCCUACCACGUGAAGUGUUUGGCAACAUUGUUGGACCUGCCAGGACCUUCCACGAACUCCCAGGACCUCCCAUUCCCACACCCCCCUUUUCCAUUCCCAGCACGUACUCUAAGCAACAGUUCUUCUUUGAAGUCAAAAGGAUUUUUUCCCAGGCUGCAGCAAAAAUCGCAGGCACAGUAAAUUAGCUACACUUCACUCGACUGUUUGGCCCCCGGGAAAGGAAAGGGGCUCAGGAAUUUCCACGGGAGAGUGGGGAAAAUUCCAUGCUGCAGCUGCUGCCUUCCGAAGUAUGGAUGACAUGCUAAUCAAGGUGGCAAAUUAAUCGGGAAGAAGAAAACUUGAUCGAUGGAUUGAAGUGGGCCAAGGGAAAUGGUCUCUAAUUGAAGCUGAAAAGUUAACUAAGGUCAGUGAAAUAGAUGUGCUGAAUCUUGGAACUAUGGCUUAAUCUUUCUAAGCAUUAAGAUCUCUUUUAAGUAUUAUAGUACUUUUUAGCUUCGUAAUGUUCUAAAUUAUCUCAAAUAUUACGAUAUUAUAGGGGUUUCCAUUAAAACGCUAUUCAUUCUAAUUGUAAGUUGCGAAGUAUAUAUAAGGUCGAUGGUAAUAUAUUUAUAUGUUACAAUUUAAAAAGAAGUACUAGUAUCUACUAAAAGCUCUUCCUUUAUAUUCCUUUUGGCUUGAACUGGAGAUCCAAACCCUGAUCCAAGGAGCAUGAUUUUCUCGCAAUUUUCAUCGCUUUUAAUUAUGCUUAGCUGACAGCGCCAACUACAAUGGUCGUGACGGGAAGAGGAGUCCGCAAAAGCAGCAAGGAGCAGGAGCUGGAGCUGGAGGAGCAGGACAAUGAGGAGGAUUAGGUUGAGAAGGGCUUUAGGCCCACUGGCGCCCGGCGAUAUGUGACAGCCAUUUAAUUUGAUUUAUGGCAAGUGAAUAGCCUUGAUUAGGACGCGUUCGCUACAAUGAGAACCGACGACCGACAAGGAUGCCUGCGGGGCAGGAUGUGUGAUGUGGAUGUGCAUGUGUGGAUGAUUUUAACUCAAUUUCACAUAAAUCAAAAAUGUAGCCAUCCCAAAACCCGCUCCAGCUUCUGUUCCCGCUUGCGAAUCCGAAUCUCCUCCCGAAUUCAUUCAUUCAUUUCCCCCGUGUGCAGCUUGGCGCUAAUCGCAUUUCAAUUGUUGAAACGAAUUGCGAAUUGAAUGAAGUGUUGAAAUUUCAGUAGCCAAGCUCAUAAGUGCACUGGGGAAAAAUAAGCAAUAUUGUUAACAUUUUGUUAUUUAAUUUUAUGCUAAGAUUCUAAAGUUGUAUUUGAGAACAUUUUCUUGUUUGAAUAGCACCUUUCAAAAGAGUGUAAAAAUGUAAGCAGAACCUUAUUUCCACUAAUUUUUUUGAGUGCAUAUAGAUAUAGAUUUCUUCUAUGAGCGGACAAGUUCAUAAAAGUAAAUCCAAAGCAGGCAACAAUAAGCGAAUUUAGGUGUCAAACAGCAGGUGGCAAUGGCAGCCAACGGAAGUGCCUGACGUCCUUCGAUUGCGGACUGGGGUUGCGACUCGGUUUGGGGUUUGGAUUGGGGUUUGGGAUUGGGGUUUGGGGUUUCGGGCUCGGUUUCUGGGUUCCGGGACUGUGCGAGUGCGGGACUCCGGGUAUCCGGAGUCGGGUCUUUGGGGACUGCUUGGUAUCGUCAGAGACAGAUGAUAUCUUAAACACACACACACUCAGGCAAUCACACAUGACUACCCAGCCAAAUGUUAUCAGAAAACCAGCAACAAGCGAAAAAAAAACCAAACUGUUGUACAAUUUUUGACAUGGGUUACACCAAACAAAGGGCCACAAACUUGGGGCGGGCAUUCGAUACAUAUACAUAUGUAUAGGUACUACAUAUGCGUAUAUAUAUAUAUAUAUAUAUAUAUAUAUGGGAAACCUUCUUUCGAUAUCAUUUGGGCAGCGCCUGUGUAUUGGCAAACCGCAAGAACAUCAACUGAUGGCAGAUAAAUUAAAUUUUGCGGUUCUAAAUGGGCAAUCAAUGAGGCGUUCCACAGGAGGUCCUGCUGCGAAACUCCGCUUCGAUUUCGAAAACUAUGUGAAAAUAAAAUUUAAAAAUUGAACAAACACCAGCCAAUAACUUGACCUCCGACACGGCAGACAGACACUGCGAAAUGGCGAAGAAAGGUGAGGCAUCCGAAAAGUUGUUAGUUGUUGCUGCUGAAACUUUCAGCUACGACAUCAAAUAUUGACUCAAGUUCGGGGGGAAAUACCCCAUCUUCCUCCGACGACUCAAGUGGGUGUUGUUGUGUACAGUUGACACCUGGAAUUCCCCUUCCACUUCACCGUUUAUUGGUAUUUAUUCGGCAGCCGGAAUGUCUAAUCAAACAGUCGGAAGGCACUUCAAGGACUGCAUGAGCACACAGUAUACAACUAAUAUUGAACGCGAUUCGGUAUUCGCAAGGGAAAUCCUUAAAGCCCGUAUAAAAUCGGGCGAAGGGUUAAGACGCUUCCCAACUCUGUGAAAAUUGCAUUUGAUGGAGAAAAGUUGAGCAACAGGAGUCUUAAAUGGUUUUCAGUUUCAAUAGAGAGGGAACCAUGUUGGAAAAUCUAACAAUUAUUGAAAGACUCCGGAACUUAUAUCUAUGUACAAGCACUUCAACUAUUUGAAGAAUAAAUAGAGUUCUUGCAUUGAAAACUAAUUGACUAGACUAUAUAUAAAUUCAAUCAAUUUCAUUCGAACCUUUUCCAAUCACAAUUUUUUUGUUAUCGUUCUUUUUAAAUAUUUUAUUCGUUUCAAGAUAACCCCCUGCCAGUCUAGACUCAACAGUUGACCAGUUAUUACGAGUGGGUUAACAGUCCAACACCGGCUAAAAGCGGGCCAAAAGCCUAGACCAACUUGAAUGAAUGGAGCAAAAGCCGAUGCCAUUCAAUUCUAUAUCAAAAGAAUUCCCUUUUUUAUGUACCUCAAUCAGCGGCGCUCGGAGGAAAUAUUUAUUAAUUAACCAUUAUCGCCGACUGGACCCUGCUGAUUCCGAUUCCGAAUACGAUUCUGGUCCUGAUGCGUUGUUGAUGAUAAAUGGAUGUCUGAAGUGCAAUUUGCAUGCGAGCUGAACAAAAAGGGUGUUGCGGGGGGCGAAAAAGAGAGAGGGAGAGAAAGAGAGGAAAUCAGCGGUGGCUAUUGAUGCCAUUGAGAUGUGGACACAAAACAGCCGGACAGAGGGACUUCCGGACGUGAUGGCAACCUGUCCGCUGAUGAGCAUCAUUAUGCCAAAGGACAAGCUGCUCGUCCUGCGGAUCGGGCUCGCAAGAGUUGACAAUUAUGACAGACGCAGGCACUGGACAUUUCAUUCGUCGUUGCUGCUGGAAUUAACGCCAUUUUAAUUGAAUUUUAAUAUUUCACACACGACUCAACAGCCGGAAGUGGAAGUUCGCAGAGUAGGGCUUUCGAAACUCGAAGCCCAGAAACCGCAAGUAAAACGUGAAGAGUAGGCGGAAUGUUUAAUGGCCAACGACCAGAACGGAUGCCCUCAGGAUCAGGCUCCGACUGACUGACCAAUGAAAUAGCCAUUAUGGAAAUCUGUUGCCAAGUUUGGUCACAUAAUGGGCAAUGACGCAUUAAAUGCUGAAUAACUACCAAAUUUAAGGCUUGUGCUGUCAUAUUAAGCUAAGUGCUUUUAAAAAUAUAUUAAGGAAGCAACUAUAGCUUGACUGAUUAGAAUAUUUUAACGCUCUAAUUCGAGUUAUUCUAAUUUUUAACUGUUCUUCAAAACAUCCCUCUUUUUUAAUAAAUAAACUUUUACAUUUAAGUCGAGAAAGGCCUUAACUAAAUAGAAAAUUUACAUAAAAUCGAUCACAACACUAAAAGCUAUCGAUAAAUCAAGAUUGCAGCUCUAGCAAUAGUGUUACAAAGUUUUAGAAACACGUGCUUAAUUUAAUGCUUGGCUUUUCUUCAGAGUCCAUUUAUUUACAAAUAAAUAAAAAACUAACAAAGGACAUGAGGGCAGUGCGUAAUAAACGAAAAACUCAGGCCAAACUUCAGGUGAAGCAACUCACUUCGUUUGAUAAAAGGCUCAUUGAAUUGGAGCGGCGUGUAAAUGGCUUAGCCAGAGAGGUUCGAGAAUACAAAAUCCAGUAUAGUGAGCCCUCCAAACAGUUUCAAAACUUUGAAUACCUAAUUGUGGAGUUGGUAGAAGGACCGAUUUUGGUGGAUAGCUCUUGAUUUUCCAAAGGAUCAAGAGGUCCAGAAACAUAGGGCACAAGGCCUAAUGUAAUAAUAGUAACGAAGAUAUAGCAGUCUCUAAGUGAAAAAGUACUUCUAAUUACUUAAAAUGUUAUAAUUCUUUUGAAUCAAUUAGUUUAAGUGUUAAGAAACAAAAAAUUCAAAGUUAAUCUGAAAAUGUAAGAAAAAAUAUGCAUUUACAUAGAAAUCUAAGCCACAGAAAGUAAAAAUUACUUUUAAAUGUUAUACCAAAAAAAAUGCUCAAAUUGUAAGCCCUUAUAAAUAAGAAGUGACAGGUAUAAUGCCGUUUUUAGUUCCUUUAAAUUGACCAUAUUAAUCCAUAAAACUUUACUUGUUAAGCACGCGCUGUAAAUCAAUGUUUAAGGAACUUACUUAUACGUAUAUGCUCAGAUUUUCAUUUUCCAUUGUACGAUUCGAAAGUUGAAGCUCAAAUCGGCGUGUAUAGCCAGCAGGAUAUGCCUGAAAACCUGAUCAAAUAUUUUGUCACGACCAACAAUUUCCUGAAGGGACAGCUCUGGGAUGUGCCAGUGUCCAAAUAUUAAAUGCCAUUGUGACAAACGCCGCCAACUGGCUAUGAAACAGCCAACUAUUGUCGAUGAUGAGGACAUGGUGGCCCAGACCACCGGGAACGGGAGAACUGGGACUCGAAUAGUCGCCGCUUGCAAUCAGUGGAUGGGUGUGACAAACGCAGUUGGCAAUUUCUUCGUUUAACAUGCAAAUUUCAACGAUUUUCAAUCACAACUCGGCACUCACUGCAGUUCCCUCUGCAUCAUUUGGGCAGUGCUGACGCCUUAGAUAGAUUUAAGUCUGCAAAACACCAUUUGAAAUGUAUUGUAAGUCACUAAUGAAACCAUCUACUUAGACCAUCUACAAUGACAACAAAGCUCAAAUACGGGCUGAUUUAAUGAAUAUUUACACUAAUUGGCAUUAAAAAGUUGAUAGACAUAUAAGUAUAGUAAGGUUAUUAAGUAAAUUUGGGAUAAUGUAGCCAGAAAUCUUCUUAAGAAAAAUAUGUAAAUACAUAUGUAAAACUCAUUUCAAACUUAAUUCAUAAAUUCGUCUUAGUAGAGUAGUUAAUUUCACAGCUUUACGAAUGCAGUUAGUUUUCCCAUCACCUUGGCAAGCAUUCCAGUUUUGAAUUCCGACAAUAGCUGGCUUUGAAAAGCCGUUUGCUCGACAUUUUUGGAGCCCAUCCUUGCUAAAAGUCACGCAACACUGGCCUCUGCUUUGCCUCGCGCGGACAUACAUUGCGUAUGAGCAAUGGAAAAGUAAUUAAAUUUAACAGGCAAAAGCGAGAACUGCAGAGAGACCUGCGUCCUGUGCUCCAUUCUCUGUCGAUUUCCCGGCCAGUUAGACUAACAAAAAUAAAAGGAGAAAUAUUGGGAAAACUGUCAUUAUUAACGCAUUGAGCGCGGCGCUGACAGCUGUUGCACCCCUUGAAAAAGGAUGGGGAGGAUGAAAUGGAGGCGGUAGGAAGGUAGGUGCCAUGUGCCAUGUUGACACUUUGCCGAGACCAAAUGACAUUUAUUGAAAUUUCAUCAUUAAGCGGCAUAGUGGCAGAAGCCAUCCACGAACUGUUUGCGAACUUUGCUGCUCAUCGAACUUAUUUAAAUUCGAAUUGUGACACGUGCGGGGAGUGGGGAGUGGAUUCGAGUAGAUUGUCAUAUCACCAUCAGGUUAUCGAAGAGGCGGAACACACGAAAUAGCACGAAAAGAAAGCCUUGACAACCCUUUCCGCUGAAAAUCUCUUUUUCUGGCAGCGCAAACAACAAUUCAGUGAACUGAAAAAUAUCCCCAAGGAGCAGAUCCAGCAUUUUCA
ensembl:ncRNA lncRNA:CR46216 long non-coding RNA:CR46216